GCUUGUGUGGAAGCCAAAGGCAGGAAGAACCCUAGCAGGCAGUGCACGCAAGGUUCUGUUCGGGGCCCCCCGUUCUUUACGCUGGCAUACGUGAAAGGCACCUUCGUGCCCUUCACGAGCCAUCAUGAAGGCAGAAAUGACCCGGGGUAGAGCAGCGAUGAACAGAACCUCCUCGGAACAGGAGUGAUUCAAGAGUCGUGGAGCAAUUUUCCGGCACGAGGGUGGAGCUUUAUAAGUUUUAAAAGGGCGCUCUAAAGGCAUAGGACCAAUAGGAGCUAGGAGUAAAUCAGCUGGCUAUUGUCUGGUUGAGGUUGCUACUAGCCAUUGGCUGCGGAUCAGCGCUUGACGUCAUGACCUGAAAGAACUAACGUUGUGCGCCAUUUCAACAGUGAUCCUUGACAAGUCAACUGACCGGAUCAAGUGAUAGACAACGGUUUUCAAAACUUACCAGAUAAUCCGACCUUCUCACUCACUCUCCUCCUUUUUAUUCCUGUUUUUAUUAAAAAAGCUGUAAAUACAAGAGAGAAGUAUGGCAGGAGUGAACCAUUUUCAGCGGAUCGCUGUUUUGUUUUUGUUGCGGAAGGACUGCAACCGUUGGAGAUGUAGGCGUCGCCGUGUCUGAGUCUCCACCAAUGGCGGCCAUUUCCAGAUGACGUCCAUUUCCAGCGGUAUUGUCGAGUUACCCAAACCCAACUUGAUGACCUGUUGGUGAGGGUCGGUGCCAGGACGUCCCUCCAGGACACCGAUUACAGACACUCUAUUCCUGUGUUUAUAUUUUCACACCAGUGAACAGCUUCUGGUCUGUUUUUCAUACGUCACCCGGGAACCUUCAUGCUGAUUGGUUGUUUCGACACGAAUAUCCGCUUGAGUUGAGAUAUUUUCAACUUUCGCAAAUUCAUGUCAUUCGUGCAAAUCACGUGAAUUACCCUCAUCACUGCCAGAGUAGUACGAGCGUCUCAUCGCGUCUUUGCAUUGACUCAGCAUAUAAUUUAUUUGCGCGAAUGAUUUUGCCCCUUGAGACUGCCUUUUGUUUCAUCAUAACACGCCGCAGUGUUGAGGUGAAGUUUGUCGGUAUGCAGCUGAAACACUCAAGGUACGAGAGGCAUCACGUCACACAUCCUCCUGGAGAGGUGAGCGUUUCUCCAUCUGUGUUUUUCGGGUUUGCAGAAAUCUUAAGUCCUUUCUUCACGCCUGGAUGUUCGACCAGCUGACUGGCUGUCACUCACAGCCUUUUCUUCCUGCUGCUGUAUAUCAUUUGUUACCCGUCUGUCAACAGCUGAUGUAUGAAUAAAGAUUUAAUCACAGCAGAUGACAUGUAAAGUGAUGAUUGUGAUUCUGUUUACAAAAUGAAUGAGGGAACCAUCGAGCAGGAGGCUGCCAAACACAGGCCGCUCCAUCGCCAACAGUUUAAUAUACAGGAGCUUAAUUUAUGAAGCUGCACUCGACGUGAUUUAUCGACACUGUUGUUUUGGAUCUAAUCUCAGGUAAUAAAUGUUGAUCAGUCACUCAGCUGACAGCUCGGCUCUCUCAGAGGUCACGUACUUUCCAACAGAGGAGCUGCUCCUCACUUUUACCAACAGUGAAUCUGCACACUUCAGGAACGGAGGGUCUUCUGAGGGCUCGGCCAAUCAUACGGAGGGUUACUAUACUCUUCUCACCUUUAUUAUAUGAUCUCUGAAGGACUGGUGAUUCGGUGUAGUCGGCUGUGAUUGGCCCACCUUGAAUCAGAUCAGGUGGAAGUUUGUGUGAGCGGGAGGCUGAUGAGAUGGAUCAGCCGGAAAAGUAAAAAAAUCGUAGCGUGCAGAAUCAUCCGUUACCCAGGAAAGGUCCUCAUAAGUAUAGAUCACGUGUGUUAGAGAGUGUUUGAAGGAUGAGUGUUUGCAGCUUUGAUGAUUUUAUUUAUGACGUUUAGAGUCGAGGAGAAACUGUGGAAAUCAAUAGAUCAAAGGUUUCUGCGUGUGUGUGUGUGUGUGCGUGUGUGUAACAGUUUUUUUAUAAUUCAUACUUUUAGAGACUGUUUCCAGCUCUGAACACAUCACACACUCCCCCACCCUCGAGUUUAUCGACCUCAGUGUGGAGAAAUCACUGAUUCAUCAAUACCAUCGAACUCGUCUUCGUCCUCUUCUCCUUUUUUUUCCAUCUCUUCUUCAUUUCUUUUCCUCACCUCCUCCUCCUCCUUCUUCUUUUUCUUCUUCUUCUUCUUCUUGCAGUAAAUCACAGAUUUUUAAGCGUCACAUGGGAUAGAUGGGAAAUAUGUACAUACUUAAUGUUCAUUUUAAAAACAAAUCCUCCCAACAGACCACAGCUGAAAAAAUGUCGGCAAAACGAAAUAACCGGGGGCAGGGAAAGCAACGCUCCCCUCUGAAAGUUGAGGCAGGAUGAGCAGCAGCAAAGACUACAGAGCAAGGAUCAGAUGAAGAAAGAGCAAAUUUCCUCUCUGUGGAUGCAUGAAAAGUUGAUGCGAGCAGAGCAGGAGCAAAAACCCAGGACGACGAAUCAGAGCAGAGCGAACAGGAAGAGUGGAGGCAGGAGGAGCAGCAGCAGACCAGCACAAGAGAAGACCGUUCACGAAGGAGCUUUUCUUCAAUCUAAUGAUAUCAGGUUAUGGUCGUGUACGGGCUGAUAUCUUACCUGUUCACAAAGGUGUGCCACAGGGCUCUGCAUUAGGUCCUCUUUAGUUUACUGUCAUAUUUUCUCCACUCUGACAAUAAACUGAGGGAAACAUCUAGAAUGGAAAAGUCCCUUUAAAAGCAGACCUGGCAGAGCUAAAGGUCCAACCUGAGGAAGUUUUUUUUCAUUCCUACUUUUCUCCUAAAAAUAUCCGUCUGUUUGGUUUGGGGGUCCAGAACCCCGGAUGGUUCUGUUUCCGAGAACUCCCCGCGUUAAAAAUGAAUCGCUCAUCAAACAUAGAAGAGCUGAGCAGAGCGGGCGUGUGUGAGUGAGUGUUUGUGAGCUGGUUAGUCUCUGUUACUGCUGCUCGGAUUGAUUCGGAUGCGGCGUCCCGAUCGAAGUUGUUGUCGGAGAAUUGAAUUUUACUUGAACCUGAUGAAACUACAACAUCAGGAAAUAAUGGAUUUCAGUCACCGAGGGCGCAGACACCUUCACAUCUCCUUCCUCAGACCGGCCUCUGUUAUCUCGCCUGGUGUAAGAGCUCAAGAUGUUUGCACACUCCUGACAGCGCUGGAGAAACAGAGUGAGAAAUAUUAUAUUCACCAGGAACUUAAACUCUAAUAUCCGAGUAUUUUCAUUUUGACACCCUUUUACACUCGAGCUCUGUCGAAGGUGUGAAGAAAUAAGAACAAAAAACGAUAUAAAAGUGAUCGAUUAGAGCUGCCUCUCUAACAACAGUAUGGUAUUAAAAAUAACAGACUGUUGCUAUGGAAUGUUGCUAUGGAAUGACCAAUCAGGAUGAAGUAUUUAACACAGCCCUGUAAUAACGGCCUCUUACACAUUAAACUGCAGCAGUGAAGUGGAACUGUGGCUGACUAGCUCAAGUGCGGUGUGUUUUUACUAUCUGAUGACCUGAGAGUUUAAACUGCGCUCCAGCUCGGCGUGUGCAGAUUCAACCCGGAGCUGAGAGUGUUCGGAGCGCGGUGAACAGUCAUUACGGUGAAUAAUGACUCGCUGGAGGCGCUCUUGGCCUUCGCCUUAUUAGAGCGCUGAUGAUGACACCUCCAGCAGAGAGAACAGAGAGGAGCGGCGGGGGGACAGAGGAAGACCGGCAUCCAAUUACCACCAGCGCUGAAAGCUCUCUGCAGGCGAGCGCCGGCCUUUACUCCAGGCGACGGCGGCGGAAGGUUUUUGUCCUCAAGGUCAGGCGGUGGUAAAGAGCUCGGAGACGGUUUUCCAGGUCAGGGAGGGAGAGAAAGAGCGUAUGUUUCAUCUCUGCUGGAGGUCACAAAUGACAUCCUGGCACUGAAAACAUACAUGUAAUCCUUUUUAAAAGCACUGCGGCUGCCGCGACCUCUGACCCCGCCUGUCUGUGUGAAAUGUACCACAAGAAGAAGAGGAAAGGGACUACAAGCAGAGGUGUGAGCCUAAAAACCCUGACAUAUGAACCGGUCUUUCUAAACCUCUACCUGCUUCCACUCAAAGGAAGUUUGAUUAUUUUUAAACGUUUGACACUUUUACACACUCGAACAAACUCAACACGCCGUUUUAAGAUCCUGACGCUGUAUGAUUCAGGUGAUAACAGGAAAACAUACAGCUGAGAGUUUUCUGAAGGACCGGAGCUCUUCUACCACCGACAUCUGAUCACAGAUCCACAUUCAGUCUCUCCUGAAUGUGAGGUCAUGUGUUUGUGAUACCAAUAAAGAAAUGAUGUUGAACUAAAUAAAAAGAGGCGGUUGUGCUGCGUUCCUGUUGUACUCGGAAGUCAGGAUUUUCAAGGUCCAGGUUAGAAAUUCAUCUGGAACGCCCUCCCUGAAGUUGGAUUUCCAACUUGGAAAGUCGGACGAUCCUCGCCAACCCGACUUGGUAACAACAUCCUAAUUCAAGAUGGCAGCGCCGUGCAUCAACAGUUAAGAGUAACAGUAAAAGCUCUUGUUAUAUGUUAUUUAUCAGCUCUUCUGUUUUGUUUUUAAGGAAAUUAAAUAAGUGGUUUAUGUUUCACUGCCCAACGUCUAACUGUGAACACAUGCCAUGGUGUUUGUUCAACACUAACAACUAACAACCGCUGACAACAGCUGACAAUUGUACACAGCAGCUAACAUCGGGUAACAACGGGUAACUGUUUGCUGCCGACUUGUUAACUGGAACGCUGUCAACUUAGGUGUAGCGUCCUUCCCAGCUCCGCCAUCCAACUACUGAGGUAACCGGAACGCAACAUUAUUACAGGGCUGUGUUAAAUACUUGAUCCUGAUUGGUCAUUCCAUAGCAACAUUGCAUAGCAACAGUCUGUUAUUUUUUAACAGCGCACCGUUGCUAGAGAGGCAGCUCUAAUCACUAACUUGUUAUAUUGUUAUAUAAUCUUAUUUCUUCACACCUUCGACUGUAAAAGGGUUUAAAAUGGAAAAAUCUACGGUGUCCAUCUUUAUGACACAGUAGCAGGGGAAAAACGGGGAAGACGGCAUCAGCUGUGGAGAAGGUUGUGAUGUGAGUGUGCUUUUGUUAUGGGGACAACACAGAACACGUAAACAAGUCUCAAGUCUACGGACUGUGAGG
rnacentral:lncRNA from 1 species